rnacentral:rRNA from 1 species
AUUGAACGCUGGCGGCAGGCUUAACACAUGCAAGUCGAGCGGGGGAAGGUAGCUUGCUACCGGACCUAGCGGCGGACGGGUGAGUAAUGAUUAGGAAUCUGCCUAUUAGUGGGGGACAACAUCUCGAAAGGGAUGCUAAUACCGCCUACGUCCUACGGGAGAAAGCAGGGGAUCUUCGGACCUUGCGCUAAUAGAUGAGCCUAAGUCGGAUUAGCUAGUUGGUGGGGUAAAGGCCUACCAAGGCGACGAGCUGUAGCGGGUCUGAGAGGAUGAGCCGCCACACUGGGACUGAGACACGGCCCAGACUCCUACGGGAGGCAGCAGUGGGGAAUAUUGGACAAUGGGGGGAACCCUGAUCCAGCCAUGCCGCGUGUGUGAAGAAGGCCUUAUGGUUGUAAAGCACUUUAAGCGAGGAGGAGGCUACUUUAGUUAAUACCUAGAGAUAGUGGACGUUACUCGCAGAAUAAGCACCGGCUAACUCUGUGCCAGCCGCCGCAGUAA